CUAAAAGCCAAGAUGUAGUCAGCACCAUGUCUACCUGCACACCAACAUGUUCCCCACCGUGAUGAUAAUGGACGGAACCUCAGAAACUGUUCAGAUUAGAGUCCUUAUGCUUGCAUGGCAAGUACAGUGGCCUUAUGAGCCAUUUCCCCAGUUCCUUGGUGAUUUUAAAUAAAAUUCCCUGCCACUUCUGUAAGAGGCAGAGACCGUUUGAGGCCAGCCUGAUCUACAGAGCAAGUUCCUGGACAGGCUCCAAAGCUACAGAGAAACCCUGUCUCAAAAAAGCAAAACAAAACAAAACAAAAAACCUCGGGAGGCAGAUACUGAGGUAAAAACCUGAUUGAUCGAAGAAGUAGAGGAGAAGCGACCAAUGACCCCCUCUCCUUCCCCAAUCUAAAAGGGCUGCAAUUCUUUCAAGCUCCUCCCUACUACUUCCUAUGUCUCUCUAUAUGUAUCCUGGAGCCUCCAAAAUCUCUAUGUCUAAUUCUGAUCAGCCAGUUUCUAACUCUGCCCCUGAAUCAAAUUUAAACUUUAAUGGUAGUCUCAGAGUGUCAGUAUGAGCAAAUAUCCUGCAAUAUUUCCCCUUCUUUUGUCUAAAUAAAAAGGAAAGGUUUUAACUCUAACAUAGUAAAACUAUAUACAAUAAGAACAAUUG
ensembl:lncRNA